rnacentral:rRNA from 1 species
AAGCUCGUAGUUGAAUUUCGGGUUCUACCGUUGGUCGGGCUAACCAGUCUGUACUAGCGUGUAGAACUCCUACCUUCUGGGGAACCAUCAUGUUAUUAAUUUAGCGUGGUGGGAAACCAGGACCUUUACCUUGAAAAAAAUUAGAGUGUUCAAAGCAGGCUUACGUCUGAAUACAUUAGCAUGGAAUAAUAAAAUAGGACGGUGGUCCUGUUUUGUUGGUUUCUGAAUCACCGUAAUGAUUAAUAGGGAUAGUUGGG